rnacentral:lncRNA from 10 species
CUACUUUCCUGAUCUAAAGGAACGAUGGCCUGUAACACAUUUUAGCAAUGUAAUGUUGGUGUAGACUGUGUGCUUUGUAACAACAGUGACAUCAGGAGUUCCUUCACCUGGACGUUGAGUGAAUGGAGGGAGAGUGCUGGCCUCAUCCAUCACCCACUGGAGGGGUGGAACACAUUCAUAGUGGUGGGAGCAGCCCUGACUCUACACUGCCUGCUCAUGUAGCAUGAACCA